UUUCUUUUCUCUCUUGUUUUAUCUCAUCCUAACAGCUACUUCUUUCUUUUUUAGAACUUUUUUUUUCACGCCUCAUUUCAAUAUAGCUAUCUAAAAAAUUGGACAGAUUAUAUCCACAUGUGUGCCCCUACCUUCAAUCAAUAUUAGCUUACAUAGAAAAAUCAAAGGUAUCAUCUCCAAAUAUGAACUGCUACUACACAUUUGAAGGUUGAGUGAAUAAUUUUGCUAAACCUUUAGCUACGACUUUGGCUAAAAGCUUGCUACAGAAUGUUAUUUAUUUCUACUUUAACUACUUAAAAAAAAUGUAUUUGAAUAAUAUAUGCCGGUAAUAAUGCUUAUUUUAGUGUUUCCUUUUUUAUUUACAAUAUUAGUAAUACUUUAAUGAAAGCUAUUGUUGUCUUAAUUAAUUAGAUUGAAACUUUCAAUUUUUUAUGUUUAGAAAUUUUUGAAUUUGGUCGUUUGGAGUUAAUUGGAUAAAUAUUACGAGAUUUUUAAUUUUUUUAUGUUUAGAAAUUUUUUUAAUUUGAUGAUGUGUGCUUUAUAUUGUUACAACAUUAUUUUGAAAAUAUCAUUAUU
rnacentral:lncRNA from 1 species